GGGGGGGUUCAUCUCCACUAGACCCAGGGCAGGCUCUGCUGGGGGAAGCUCCCCACAAAGGCUCCAGUGACACCCUUCAGGGACACCCAGAGUCUGGCGACCAGAGAGUGCUGGUCCAGGCUGUCUCAGAGCCCCAGGACAGUUGAGAGGUGACCGUGGCUGUCCCUGCCCUUUCCUUCUCUAGUCCCCUCCAGCCUCCAAGCUGCAGGGUCUUGGUGGCAAAGCCUCAGAGCCCAAUCCGAGUGCGCACGAGGCGGGCCUCCUUGGCUGGGGUCCUUCCCACGCAGGAGGAAAUUCUGCGCCCUCUGCCUUCUUUUCUAAAGGGAGUGAUGCCCAUUUUGCCCAGGGCCAUUUGCAGUGCUGUUUGCUCCAGGUUUGCUAACGGACCCAUUUCCGUCGAGCUCCGGACCCUACUUCCCCGAGGCGAUGGCUCGCUCUGCUCUGCUGGAUCCGAGAGUGGGCUCUGUGAUUACCGCCCAGAAAGAGCGAGGGCGAGAGCUAAAGGCCAAGGAGAAGGCUGUGCAACCCAAACGGGCAGUGAAGUCUGGAGCGCCCGACCAGACCUGCAUCUUGACAGCCCCAACUGUCACUUCCAGGCUGCACUGUCUCACCGCGAGUCUGGAGUUUCAUCCCGACAAAACCUGGGAAAAGUGUUCCUCGAAGCAGUAGCGUCUUUCUGCCUCGCCUAUUCGCGGCUAACGCGGGUCCCGGCUCCCGUCCAGGCGCAAGCCGCCAGGGGCGAGGGUUGGAAGCCCCUCUGCGCCGGGCGUGGGGACCCCGGAGCCGG
ensembl:lncRNA